rnacentral:lncRNA from 1 species
AAAGUUAUUUAAACUUAAAGUGACUUUUUCUUUACUCCAUAAAGAAUUAAUAUUUCUUUAUAAAUUUGCAUUAAAAUUAUAUAUCUGCUUAAAUAGAAGCAUUUUUAAGUAAAAGCUAAAAUUGAUAUAUUUGCUUAUUCAAGAAGCACUUUUCAUACAAAACAUAAAAGUUAUUUACUUUUAUAACAGAACAUAAUUUUCAUAUUUGCUUACACAGAAGUAUUAUUUGACAAAUUAUUAUCUGCUUAUUUAAGAAGCAUCAAUCUGUACUAAAUUAUAUCUGCUUAUUUAAGAAGCAUCCAUAUGUACUAAAUUCUUAUCUGCUUAUUUGAGAAGCAAAUUGUUGUAAAAUCAUUUGUAAAAAGAGAAAAGGUCAGAGUUAGUUUAUUUUAUGUACCUGUGAGAAAGAUGAGUAAUUUUUUGACCAAGACCAGAGUCUUAGAGAGGUCAGCGGGAAGUUGGGUCUCUAGUGUACUUGUGAGGUGAGGAAGAGGCUGUUAUUUCAAGACCAGAUCAUAGAAUAGAACUGAACUCAAAAGAAGGUACAACUAAACUUGAGGAGGGAGCGGGGAGCUUGCGGUCCAAGAUAGAAUAGUUGGGAACAGUUGAAAGUUUGUCUAUAAAACUUUGUAAAGGCUUCUCCGCCUAUUGAAGGAGUAUUUAUUACUGAUAGUAAUAGGAUCUCAAGUCCUGGAGAGGAGCUUGAGACUGGACGUAGCAGCAUACUCGGGAUAUAUGUUGUGAACCAGACAAAUCUCUGUGCAUUGUGUGAUUAAUUUUUUACUGUCUUGCAUAUUAAUUUCUAACACUGUAAAUUAAUUAUACAAAAAAUCAAAAAGGCCUAAGAUAAUUUUUAAUCUGUAAUAAUCUAUUCAACCCCCCUUUUAGAUUAUUAUUGGACUUUUAGUUGGAGAAUUGUAUUUAGUACUUCAUUGAUGAAAAUCAUUAUUACAUAUUUGAAGUCAUUAG